CUCACCUAGCCAGUCGCCAGAGUUCAUGCGUGGCACGAGCACGGCGCGUGGCCGCUCAUAUAAAACAGAAGGUCCAAAUUGAGACAAAAGUCUACUUAAAGAGGAUUUGUUACGCGGGAAGUCCGAGGAAAACAGUCUGAGUGUCCAAAACCUACAGGAACUCACCCAUGCUCUUCAGGGCCACUGGCACAGCUCCCUUCUGUUAAAGUGACUGUGUUUGAGCAGGAGCACUUCCAGGGCAAGUGUCUGGAGUUCAUGACUGCAGCAUGGACAACAUCCGCUCCAUCCGAGUGGAGAGUGAGUCACACAGCCUGUGCGCCUGUAGGUCUCAGUGAGGAGCUGAUUAUUGUGUCUAUAUGUGGUGUGUAUUCUGCAUUCACCAAAAAGAAGAGAAGUGAGUGAUGUGAAAUAUAUUCAACAUUAUCAGAGGAAAAAGGUAGUUUGUACAGUGACUCCCCAUUAAUUUGCAGUUUGUCACAUUACAACCUCAAACUUAAAUGUACUUUGUUAGUAUUUUAUGUGAUAUAAUUCUGAGAGAAAACCAGCAAUACCUUGCUGGUAGAAGCUAGAAAGGGAGCGUCAUUAUUCAAAGUAAAACGAGUCCUCUUCUGUCACAAGCCGAAAAGCUGAUCAAACAGGAAUUACUUCAAAAUAAAUAUAAAAACCCAGAUGCUUGUUUGCAAAUGCACUCAAAGUCAGCUAAUGAAACUAAAACUGAAGAGCUUGGCAGAAAGAUGGAGCUUACACGUGAGACAACUGUAUCCUAACUUUAGAGUAUAGAGUGGCAGUAUCGUGUUGUGUAGAUGUUUUGCUGAAGGAGGGACAAAAUAGAUGAUGUCAUAAAAAAGAACAUUAUGUUGUAAUACUGAAGUAUUUACAUGCUGGGUGGUUCACAAAAAAAUCUAAAUGUACAAACAAUGACAUUGUACUAUCUUGUAUUGUUACAUAAAUCCCUUCUACUAUUCUCAA